rnacentral:rRNA from 1 species
CAGUAGCCGCGGGAAUACGAAGGGUGCAAGCGUUACUCGGAAUUACUGGGCGUAAAGCGUGCGUAGGUGGUGGUUUAAGUCCGUUGUGAAAGCCCUGGGCUCAACCUGGGAAUUGCAGUGGAUACUGGGUCACUAGAGUGUGGUAGAGGAUAGUGGAAUUUCCGGUGUAGCAGUGAAAUGCGUAGAGAUCGGAAGGAACAUCUGUGGCGAAGGCGACUAUCUGGGCCAACACUGACACUGAGGCACGAAAGCGUGGGGAGCAAACAGGAUUAGAUACCCCUGUAGUCCCUGUCUCUUAUUC